GAUGAACGCUGGCGGCGUGCCUAAUACAUGCAAGUCGAGCGAACAGAUGAUGAGCUUGCUCCUCUGACGUUAGCGGCGGACGUGUGAGUAACACGUGUAUAACCUACCUGUAAGACUGGGAUAACUUCGGGAAACCGGAUCUAAUACCAGAUAAUAUAUUGAACCGCAUGGUGCAAUAGUGAAAUACGGUUUUGCUGUCUCUUAUAGAUGGAUCCGCGCCGCAUUAGCUAGUUGGUGAGGUAACGGCUUACCAAGGCAACGAUGCGUAGCCGACCUGAGAGGGUGAUCGGCCACACUGGAACUGAGCCACGGUCAAGACUCCUAAGGGAGGCAGCAGUAGGGAAUCUUCCGCAAUGGGCGAAAGCUUGACGGAGUAACGCGGCGUGAGUGAUGAAGGUCUUGGGAUCGUAAAACUCUGUUAUUAGUGAAGAACAAAUGUGUAAGUAACUAUGCACGUCUUGACGGUAACUAAUAAGAAAGCCACGGCUAACUACGUG
rnacentral:rRNA from 1 species